CCUACGGGAGGCAGCAGUGGGGAAUAUUGCACAAUGGGGGAAACCCUGAUGAAGCGACGCCGCGUGAGUGAAGAAGUAUUUCGGUAUGUAAAGCUCUAGCAGCAGGGAAGAAGAAAGACGGUACCUGACUAAGAAGCCCCGGCUAACUACGUGCCAGCAGCCGCGGUCAUACGUAGGGGGCAAGCGUUAUCCGGAUUUAAUGGGUGUAAAGGGAGCGUAGACGGCUGUGCAAGUCUGAAGUGAAAGCCCAGGGCUCAACCCUGGGACUGCUUUGGAAACUGUGGAGCUAGAGUGCUGGAGAGGUAAGUGGAAUUCCUAGUGUAGCUGUGAAAUGCGUAGAUAUUAGGAGGAACACCAGUGGCGAAGGCGGCUUACUGGACAGUAACUGACGUUGAGGCUCGAAAGCGUGGGGAGCAAACAGGAUUAGAUACCCUAGUAGUC
rnacentral:rRNA from 1 species